rnacentral:rRNA from 1 species
GUCGAACGGUAAGGCCCCUUCGGGGGUACACGAGUGGCGAACGGGUGAGUAACACGUGGGUAAUCUGCCCUGCACUUCGGGAUAAGCCUGGGAAACCGGGUCUAAUACCGGAUAUGAGCUCUCACCGCAUGGUGGGGGUUGGAAAGUUUUUCGGUGCAGGAUGAGUCCGCGGCCUAUCAGCUUGUUGGUGGGGUAAUGGCCUACCAAGGCGACGACGGGUAGCCGGCCUGAGAGGGUGAUCGGCCACACUGGGACUGAGACACGGCCCAGACUCCUACGGGAGGCAGCAGUGGGGAAUAUUGCACAAUGGGCGGAAGCCUGAUGCAGCGACGCCGCGUGGGGGAUGACGGUCUUCGGAUUGUAAACUCCUUUCAGUAGGGACGAAGCGAGAGUGACGGUACCUGCAGAAGAAGCACCGGCCAACUACGUGCCAGCAGCCGCGGUAAUACGUAGGGUGCAAGCGUUGUCCGGAAUUACUGGGCGUAAAGAGCUCGUAGGCGGUUUGUCACGUCGUCUGUGAAAUCCUCCAGCUCAACUGGGGGCGUGCAGGCGAUACGGGCAGACUUGAGUACUACAGGGGAGACUGGAAAUUCCUGGUGUAGCGGUGAAAUGCGCAGAUAUCAUGAGGAACACCGGUGGCGAAGGCGGGGUCUCUGGGUAGUAACUGACGCUGAGGAGCGAAAGCAUGGGGGAGCGAACAGGAUUAGAUACCCUGGUAGUCCAUGCCGUAAACGGUGGGCGCUAGGUGUGGGGUCCUUCCACGGGAUUCCGUGCCGUAGCUAACGCAUUAAAGCGCCCCCGCCUGGGGAGUAC